rnacentral:rRNA from 1 species
AACGAACGCUAGCGGGAUGCUUUACACAUGCAAGUCGAACGGAGAGGCGGACGGGUGAGUAAUAUACCGGAACGUGCCUAGUCUCGGCGGCUAACUACUCGAAAGAGUGGCUACUACUGCACACUAGUGGAGCGGGCGUUAGCGGUUUAGCUAGUUGGUGGGGUAAAGGCUCACCAAGGGAACGAUCCGUAGCUGGUUUGAGAGGACGACCAGCCACACUGGGACUGAGACACGGCCCAGACUCCUACGGGAGGCAGCAGUGGGGAAUUUUGGGCAAUGGGGGAAACCCUGACCCAGCCAUCCCGCGUGUAUGAUGAAGGCCUUCGGGUUGUAAAGUACUUUUGGCAGAGAAGCGGUAUCUGCAGAAUAAGCACCGGCUAACUACGUGCCAGCAGCCGCGGUAAUAC